rnacentral:rRNA from 1 species
GAUGAACGCUGGCGGCGUGCCUAACACAUGCAAGUCGAGCGAUUUACUUCGGUAAAGAGCGGCGGACGGGUGAGUAACGCGUGGGUAACCUGCCUCAUACACAUGGAUAACAUACCGAAAGGUAUGCUAAUACAAGAUGAUAUAAGAGAUUCGCAUGGAUUUCUUAUCAAAGCUCCGGCGGUAUGAGAUGCACCCGCGUCUGAUUAGCUAGUUGGUAAGGUAACGGCUUACCAAGGCGACGAUCAGUAGCCGACCUGAGAGGGUGAUCGGACACAUUGGAACUGAGACACGGUCCAAACUCCGACGGGAGGCAGCAGUGGGGAAUAUUGCACAAUGGGCGAAAGCUUGAUGCAGCAACGCCGCGUGAGCGAUGAAGGCCUUCGGGUCGUAAAGCUCUGUCCUCAAGGAAGAUAAUGACGGUACUUGAGGAGGAAGCCCCGGCUAACUACGUGCCAGCCGCCGCAGUAAAAC